AGUGGCAGACGGGUGAGUAACGCGUGGGAACGUACCUUUCGCUACGGAAUAGCUCCGGGAAACUGGUGGUAAUACCGUAUACGCCCUCAGGGGGAAAGAUUUAUCGGCGAAAGAUCGGCCCGCGUUGGAUUAGCUAGUUGGUGAGGUAAUGGCUCACAAAGGCGACGAUCCAUAGCUGGUCUGAGAGGAUGAUCAGCCACACUGGGACUGAGACACGGCCCAGACUCCUACGGGAGGCAGCAGUGGGGAAUCUUGCACAAUGGGCGAAAGCCUGAUGCAGCCAUGCCGCGUGAAUGAUGAAGGCCUUAGGGUUGUAAAAUUCUUUCGUCAGGGAUGAUAAUGACCGUACCUGAAGAAGAAGCCCCGGCUAACUUCGUGCCAGCAGCCGCGGUAAUACGAAGGGGGCUAGCGUUGUUCGGAAUUACUGGGCGUAAAGCGCACGUAGGCGGACUUUUAAGUCAGGUGUGAAAUCCCGGGGCUCAACCUCGGAACUGCAUUUGAAACUGGAAGUCUUGGGACCAGGAGAGGUUAGCGGAAUACCGAGUGUAGAGGUGAAAUUCGUAGAUAUUCGGUGGAACACCAGUGGCGAAGGCGGCUAACUGGACUGGUACUGACGCUGAGGUGCGAAAGUGUGGGGAGCAAACAGGAUUAGAUACCCUGGUAGUCCACACCGUAAACGAUGAGAGCUAGUUGUU
rnacentral:rRNA from 1 species